UACGGGGGGGGCAAGCGUUGUUCGGAAUUACUGGGCGUAAAGGGCUCGUAGGCGGCCAACUAAGUCAGACGUGAAAUCCCCAGGCUCAACCUGGGAACUGCGUCUGAUACUGGAUGGCUUGAAUCCGGGAGAGGGAUGCAGAAUUCCAGGUGUAGCGGUGAAAUGCGUAGAUAUCUGGAGGAAUACCGGUGGCGAAGGCGGCAUCCUGGACCGGCACUGACGCUGAGGAGCGAAAGCCAGGGGAGCAAACGGG
rnacentral:rRNA from 1 species